rnacentral:rRNA from 1 species
AGCGAACGCUGGCGGCAGGCCUAACACAUGCAAGUCGAACGGAUCCUUCGGGAUUAGUGGCGGACGGGUGAGUAACACGUGGGAACGUGCCUUUUGGUUCGGAACAACUCAGGGAAACUUGAGCUAAUACCGAAUGUGCCCUUCGGGGAAAGAUUUAUCGCCAUUAGAGCGGCCCGCGUCUGAUUAGCUAGUUGGUGGGGUAAAGGCUCACCAAGGCUACGAUCAGUAGCUGGUCUGAGAGGAUGAUCAGCCACAUUGGGACUGAGACACGGCCCAAACUCCUACGGGAGGCAGCAGUGGGGGAAUCUUGCGCAAUGGGCGAAAGCCUGACGCAGCAACGCCGCGUGGGGGAUGAAGGCUCUCGGGUUGUAAACCCUUUCAGCAGGGACGAAAUCAGACGGUACCUGCAGAAGAAGCUCCGGCUAACUACGUG